rnacentral:lncRNA from 1 species
GUUUUACAUCAUAUAGCACUCUUCUGGAUCUUUCUCUUCUAUACAUUCAGCGAUUUCUCUCCUCUCAUUUUUGUAAUUAUUUUGCAUAGUUAAGAUGAAUAUUUGCACAUAUAUACUAUAUUCUACCCAUGUUUAGGAGUCUGCUGUUUUAUGCUACUUAAGAUAUAAGCUAGAAAAGUCCAGAAAAUAACCUGUUCAGCUCUCUAUUACAAUCUAUCUUAUGCUGCAACCAAAAUAAAAUAUCUCACGAUGCAGACACAGGGCAGAAAGUACAAGAAAACAAAAACUAUAUUCAGCAAAGAGAAAAAGAUUUGUCACAAAGCAGGAUUUCCCCACUGACUAAUUAAAGUAAGAAACACAUCUUGCCUUCUGUAAGCAGAGGAUGGUCCUUUUUUUAUUAUUAUUAUUAUAUAAACUAGAAACAGAUGACCAUUGUGAAGGCUUCUCAGGGAUAUUAAACAUCCCUAACAAAGACCAAACAGAGGAAACACACCAAUAUGCUUUAAAAAUGUCAGGGCAGGGCACCUUAAGGACAAGCUAGCAAGUUUGUCCUCUGAGAUCACAGCAAAGAAAUGAUGGGCCCAGCAAUUUCAAACUCGUGUCAAGAAAAGAGUCAGAAGGGAAGUGAAAGACCUAGCUCAUUAAAGUUGACAUUUGUCUUCUUUUACAUAUGUCACAUGAUCCCAAUGACAAAAGUUAAAUAUGAAGGUAUUACUGGUGGCUAGCAAUGAAUGUGGAGUAUGUUUUCAGUCUUGCCAACAAAGUUCGCCAUAUCUCAACCUGUCGUAAAUUUGCUAUUGAGUUAUGGAGCAAGCUUAGCCUUUUAACACAAUUUUUUAUUUGUAUAUUAAUUCUUUAAAAGUUAAAAAGAAUGAUAAGAAACAACUUAUGUGAAGAAAUUUUCUGCUACAGAAAGGUUUCUCUUUUUUUCCUGGUAAUGAUUAAAAUAUGAAUAAAGUGAACAACCAGCCAUUCAAAGAAUGAGACAAUAAAUAUAGUAUGAGAAAGUUAAAACAUUUUUAUUGAUAUGGCUCAUCCAUUACCCAAAACAACGCCUGUUCAUUGCUGGUAUAUUGGAGUCCAUUUCAUAAAUAAACACCAAUUAUUCUCACCUUGCUUUACUGUCAAACCAAAGGACAAAUCAGAACCUCCCUUAUGCAAUUUUAUGUGUAUGAGUAUUUUACCUGCAUGUGUGCAAGUGUGCACUACAUGCAUACCUAGCACCCAUGGAGACCAGAAGGCAUAAGGUACCCGGAAACUGGAGUUAGAGAUGUUUGCAACUGCCAUACAUGCUGGGAACUGAACAUGGGUUCUCUGUAAGAAGAGCAAGUGCCUUUAUCCACUGUGCUGUCGCUCCAGACUUACUGUUAUUUUUCUUUAAAAAGAGAUUUAUUUGUUGUUGGGUUUUUUUGUUUUGUUUUUUGUUUUUUGUUUUUUGUUUUUGCUUCCCUGAAUCAAGUAAUAUAGUCAACUUAAUCUACAUAAAAAAUAUCCUCUAUCUUCGCUUCUUGAAAGAGGUUUAUUAGCAGCAUGGAUCAUAAACACUAAGUUGAUAGCCAUAAACACCUUUCAGGGUGCCCAGGAUCUAAAUAUACAAUUUAGUUGUCAUUUAGUGGUUUCUAUUAAAUAACCUUCUACAGUAGUAACACAUGCCCAUUUUGUUCUUCAGAAUAGUUAAAUUCACGUAACUAGAGCUAGUAAAAGCUGAUGAAGAGAUAUUUACUAUAAACCAUCCUUUAACUGGUUCUACAAUGCAGUCCUGACAGUAUUAACUCCUCACCCUACUAAUGGCUAUGAGAAAGUUACUAUUUGUGAGUAAUAGUGAGUCGGUGUAGCAUGUGACCUCCUUGGGAGUUUGCAUUUUAAAGGAAACACUGAGGUUAAUGUUAGGUAAUAAACUAUUAAUCAUGUUAGGUAAUAAACUAUUAAUCAAUCAUGACUCUCUCAUGGAUUCCUGGAAACAUAGUAAAAGUAAAUUGCUUCUCAAACAGGCACUGAUAUAAUUUCUCUAUACACAUGACAAAUAAUUGACUUUUACUACAAAAAAUCAUAGAGCUAAAUUUGCAGAUAUCUUAUUUCUCCAGCCAUUGGACAUAUCUUACUGUUCCCAUUUCUGAAGUGUUAUAAUUCAUGUUUUGGUUUGGUUUGGUUUGGGUUUUUUUUUUUUUUUAUGAUCCUGAAUCUGUGAAAGUUUAUUUCUCUCAGGGUAAUUGAGCCUCAUUUUCUAAAGUCUUGACAUCACAAUCCCACCUCCCCUAGCCUAACACCCACCAACAGUUUGGAAGUUUCAUCUUUCCACAUUUAACUUUGAUGGGUGUAAUUUACUUCUCUCUUACUUAAAUAAAAUUAAUUUAAAAUGAUACCCAUAAAAGUGUGUAAUAAAUGUUUCCCUCUGACUUUCGGAGGGGCUCUGUGUUCUGGCUUGCAGAACCUCCCUGGCUGGGUUUUGUACAUUUACUUAGCCCCUGCCCCCCUUAGCUUCAAGGCCUCCAGAUGACCAAAUCUAUCUACUUCUGCAUGAAAAUGUAUUUACAAUUUCUGAUUUCAGUAAUAAAACAGCUUUGGAGCAAAGUCAUAAGUGGGUUUAUGACUUAGGAUGGCCUCCUCCUAUAAUUUUGACAUUGAAAAGCCAUAAGAUAAGCAGCAAUUUUAAUCUAUUCACGACUUGUAACCUACCUCAGUUAAUCAAGGAAAAGAAAAGUAAACAUUCCAAUAUUAACUGUUUGCUGUAAUAUAUGGAUAUUCCUACCCCAGAAUUGUCUGUUGAGUUCACAUUAAUUCUAUUUGUUUGAAAUGUUCCUGUAAAAGCAGUCUUAGAGUAUAGGUCUGGCUUCACUCAUC